AGGUAACCUGCCUAUUAGAGGGGGAUAACUAUUGGAGACGAUAGCUAAUACCGCAUAACAGUAUGUAACACAUGUUAGAUGCUUGAAAGAUGCAAUUGCAUCGCUAGUAGAUGGACCUGCGUUGUAUUAGCUAGUAGGUAGGGUAAUGGCCUACCUAGGCGACGAUACAUAGCCGACCUGAGAGGGUGAUCGGCCACACUGGGACUGAGACACGGCCCAGACUCCUACGGGAGGCAGCAGUAGGGAAUCUUCGGCAAUGGGGGGAACCCUGACCGAGCAACGCCGCGUGAGUGAAGAAGGUUUUCGGAUCGUAAAGCUCUGUUGUUAAGGAAGAACGAGUGUGAGAAUGGAAAGUUCAUACUGUGACGGUACUUAACCAGAAAGGGACGGCUAACUACGUGCCAGCAGCCGCGGUAAUACGUAGGUCCCGAGCGUUGGCCGGAUUUAUUGGGCGUAAAGCGAGCGCAGGCGGUUAGAAAAGUCUGAAGUGAAAGGCAGUGGCUCAACCAUUGUAGGCUUUGGAAACUGUUUAACUUGAGUGCAGAAGGGGAGAGUGGAAUUCCAUGUGUAGCGGUGAAAUGCGUAGAUAUAUGGAGGAACACCGGUGGCGAAAGCGGCUCUCUGGUCUGUAACUGACGCUGAGGCUCGAAAGCGUGGGGAGCGAACAGGAUUAGAUACCCUGGUAGUCCACGCCGUAAACGAUGAGUGCUAGGUGUUGGGUCCUUUCCGGGACUCAGUGCCGCAGCUAACGCAUUAAGCACUCCGCCUGGGGAGUACGACCGCAAGGUUAAACUCAAAGGAAUUGACGGA
rnacentral:rRNA from 1 species